rnacentral:rRNA from 1 species
GGGUCAGUAGGUUGGUCGUGCCACCGGUACGUACUGGUCUCACUGAUUCCUCCUUCCUGAAGAACCGUAAUGCCAUUAAUUUGGUGUUGCGGGGAAACAGGACUGUUACUUUGAAAAAAUUAGAGUGUUUAAAGCAAGCUAACGCUUGAAUACAUUAGCAUGGAAUAAUGAAAUAGGACGAUCAAUCCUAUUUUGUUGGCUUCUAGGAUUGACGUA